rnacentral:rRNA from 1 species
UGGGGAAUAUUGGACAAUGGGCGCAAGCCUGAUCCAGCCAUGCCGCGUGAGUGACGAAGGCCUUAGGGUUGUAAAGCUCUUUCGGCGGGGAAGAUAAUGACGGUACCCGCAGAAGAAGCCCCGGCUAACUCUGUGCCAGCAGCCGCGGUAAUACAGAGGGGGCAAGCGUUGUUCGGAAUCACUGGGCGUAAAGCGCACGUAGGUGGAUAGUUAAGUUCGGGGUGAAAUCCCAGGGCUCAACCCUGGAACUGCCUCGGAUACUGGCUAUCUCGAGUCCGGAAGAGGUGAGUGGAAUUCCUAGUGUAGAGGUGAAAUUCGUAGAUAUUAGGAAGAACACCGGUGGCGAAGGCGGCUCACUGGUCCGGUACUGACACUGAGGUGCGAAAGCGUGGGGAGCAAACAGGAUUAGAUACCCCCGUAGUCCCUGAGCGGGCUGGCAAGGCGCAU